GGGGAGAUGGCUCAGUGGUAGAGUGCUUGCCUUGCAUGCAUGAGGCCCUGGGUUCGAUUCCUCAGCACCA
rnacentral:tRNA from 1 species